GAUGAAGAACGUAGCGAAAUGCGAUAAGUAAUGUGAAUUGCAGAAUUCAGUAAAUCAUCGAAUCUUUGAACGCACAUUGCGCCCCUUGGUAUUCCGGGGGGCAUGCCUGUUCGAGCGUCAUUAUCACCCCUCAAGCUCAGCUUGGUGUUGGGGCCUGCCCGUCACAGGGCAGCCCUUAAAAGCAGUGGCGGUGCCAUCUGGCUCUACGCGUAGUAAUACUUCUCGCGACAGAGUCCCGGUGGUGUCCUGCCAGAACCCCCCAUAUUUUUAAUGAUUGACCUCGGAUCAGGUAGGGAUACCCGCUGAACUUAAGCAUAUCAAUAAGCGGAGGA
rnacentral:misc_RNA from 1 species